CCGGGAGCGGGAGCGGAGCCGGGAGCGGAGCCGGGCAGCGGCGCGCCCGCCGAGCAUCGCGCGGCGCGGGGCGAUGAACUCGCGCAAAGUGCUGGCCCUGCAGGCCCGCAGGCGGCGGCCCAAGCAGUCCGCGGCGGCCGGCAGGAGGGACAAGCACCCGGCGCCCCACAAAAAGCCCGAGCCUCAGCAGAAAGCCCCCUCUGCGCCGCCGCCUCCGCCGCCGCCCCCGCCGCCGCCGCUGCCGGAGCCUGCCCCGCCCGAGCCCGAGGAGGAGAUUCUGGGCUCCGACGAUGAGGAGCAGGAGGAUCCCGCAGAUUACUGUAAAGGAGGCUAUCAUCCAGUGAAAAUUGGUGAUCUUUUCAAUGGCCGGUAUCAUGUUAUUAGAAAGUUAGGAUGGGGACACUUCUCUACAGUCUGGCUAUGCUGGGAUAUGCAGGGAAAACGGUUUGUUGCAAUGAAAGUUGUAAAAAGUGCCCAGCAUUAUACGGAGACAGCCUUGGAUGAAAUAAAGUUACUCAAAUGUGUUCGUGAAAGUGACCCUAAUGAUCCCAACAAGGAUAUGGUUGUACAGCUCAUUGAUGACUUCAAAAUUUCUGGAAUGAAUGGAAUUCAUGUCUGCAUGGUCUUUGAAGUACUUGGGCAUCAUCUUCUAAAAUGGAUAAUCAAGUCCAAUUAUCAAGGCCUUCCCAUCCGUUGUGUUAAAAGCAUAAUUCGACAGGUACUUCAGGGUCUGGAUUACCUGCACAGCAAAUGCAAGAUCAUUCACACGGAUAUAAAGCCCGAGAACAUCCUGAUGUGUGUGGACGAUGCCUACGUGCGCAGGAUGGCUGCUGAGGCCACCGAGUGGCAGAAGGCUGGGGCUCCUCCCCCCUCUGGCUCAGCAGUGAGUACAGCUCCACAACAAAAGCCUGUUGGAAAAAUAUCCAAAAACAAAAAGAAAAAACUGAAGAAAAAGCAGAAGAGGCAAGCUGAGCUGCUAGAAAAACGCCUGCAGGAAAUAGAAGAACUAGAGCGGGAAGCUGAAAGGAAAAAAAUAGAAGAAAAUGUAACCUCAGCUGUACCAUCAAAUGAACAAGAAGAUGAGUACCACCCAGAGGUGAAACUAAAAACAGCUGAUAUAGAAGAGGUAGUAGAUGAGGAACCUGGAAAUGAUGAUGGUGAAGCAGAAGAUCAGGAUGAAAAAGAAGACACAGAGAAGGAGAACACUGAAAAAGAUGAUGAUGUUGAGCAGGAACUUGUCAACACUGACUCUACAGACGCUAAGUGGAUAGAAUCCCCCAAAACAAAUGGCCAUAUUGUGAACGGCCCAUUCCUAUUGGAACAACAGAUUGAAGAUGAGGAAGAAGAAGAGGAAGAAUGUCCAAAUCCAGAGGAGUAUAAUCUUGAUGAUCCAAAUGCAAAAAGUGAUUACUCUUAUAGCAGCUCCUAUGAACAGUUUAAUGGUGAAUUGCCAAAUGGACGUCAUAAAAUUCCAGAGUCCCAGUUCUCGGAAUUUUCAGCGUCGGUGUUCUCUGGGGCUCUGGAGUCUGUAGCCUGUGGUUCUGCUGUGUCUGAAGGAUCAACUGUAACUGAAAGGGAGGAGAGCAGCCCAUCUCAUGACAGGAGCAGAACGGUUUCAGCUUCCAGCACUGGGGAUUUGCCAAAAACAAAAACUCGUGCUGCUGACUUACUGGUGAAUCCACUGGACCCAAGAAAUGCAGAUAAAAUUAGAGUUAAAAUUGCUGACCUGGGGAAUGCCUGCUGGGUGCACAAACACUUCACAGAAGACAUCCAGACAAGACAGUACAGAUCCAUAGAGGUUUUAAUAGGAGCAGGUUACAGUACACCUGCUGAUAUCUGGAGUACAGCAUGUAUGGCGUUUGAGCUGGCGACUGGAGAUUACUUGUUCGAGCCGCACUCUGGUGAAGACUAUUCCAGGGAUGAAGGUAUGACUCUUUUGAGACCACAUAGCACACAUCAUAGAGCUGCUAGGCAAUAUCCCAAGGCACUUUGCUCUAUCUGGAAAAUAUUCUCGGGAAUUCUUCAAUCGCAGAGACCACAUAGCAUUGAUCAUUGAACUGCUGGGGAAAAUCCCUCGAAAAUACGCUAUGUUGGGGAAAUAUUCCAAGGAGUUUUUCACCAAAAAAGGAGAACUCCGACACAUUACCAAGUUGAAACCUUGGAGUCUUUUUGAUGUGCUUGUGGAGAAGUAUGGUUGGCCUCAUGAAGAUGCUGCACAGUUUACAGAUUUCCUGAUCCCCAUGCUAGAAAUGGUCCCAGAGAAACGCGCUUCAGCUGGAGAAUGCCUUAGGCAUCCGUGGCUGAAUUCUUAGCAGAAUCUUCCAGCUGUAAAAAAAAAAAUAAAAAAAAGCCAGCAACCACUUUCCAAUGCGUUGGACCUAAAUGGUGACUAUCACAAAAUCUUUAGCAGGAUCACACGUGAGCUGGCUUCAAUCCUCAGACCUUUAUUUUGCUUGAGGUACUGUUUGACAUUUUGCUUUUUGUGCACUGUGUUCUUGGGGAAGGGUAGUCUUUUUGUCCUCAGCUAGUAGUUUACUCACCCACUUUCUUCAGAAAACACUUAACGUGUCUUUAAGCAUUGUUUCUUGUGUUGUGUGACAUUCAGAUGUCAGAUUUUUGAACAAAAGAAACUUCCCCCCAUGUGUUUUGGCAAGUUUUGUAACUAUUUAUGAAAAAAAAAAUAUUUUAGCUGAUGCAUAUUAUAUAAUUUACGAGUGUAAGAAAUUUAUCAAGUCAGAACUGAGUUACGGCAAGGAAUUGUACAAUUUUAUCUUCUGGCAAAGGGAUGUCAUUCUUGUAUUAUAGUGUAUGUAAAUGCACCCUGUAAAUGUUUAUUUCCAUUUAAAUAUGGGACUGGGGACUCAAUUUCAGAGUAAAGCAACUAAGUUUUAGAGAGCUUUAUAGCAAACCAAUUGCAUGUAGUGGACUUUAAACUGCUUUAAGGAAUUGUGUAAACUUUCUAUUCUGUAGCAGUUCCUGUUCAUUGGGUUUUAAACAAAGUGGCUCUGGUUUACAGGAUUUCAUUCCCCAAACGGCACUUUAAAGGAAGGCUAGACUUCUUUCUAAUAAAGUAUGCAUUAUCAUUUAGCACUCCCUUUUAGAACUUUUGCCUAUUUUAAGUGCUUUUAAGAAAAGAAAAAUAGCAAUUUCCCUUACAAUGUGAUAGUGAAGACAUGGUACCAUAUGGUGUUGCCUUUUUAUAAGCACUGUAAGUUGUACUAUACCUUAAGAAAAAAAAUUAAAAGUAGAGCAUGAGAACCACUCUCUGUGUAGAAUUACUGAUCUUUUAUAAUAAAAGUGUGUGCUUGGCAUCAGAUAAGGAAGGAUAUAGCUGCAGAUAUUUACAGUGCAGUGGGUAAAAUAAUCCAAGAAGCAAGAUCAUGCUCAUUCCAUUCAUAGCUUUACAUGUUUCUAAAACAAAUUGCACUAGCUUUAUUCUUUCCCAUCCGUAGACAUACGACUGCCCAUUGUAAGUUGCACGCAACAAUUAUGUGUUUCCUAGGAAAAAAAGCUGCAUAGGCUGAAGCUUAUAGGCAAUACAGAUUUUAGAAUGUACAGUACGGAGGUGUGUUUGGGCCUCUUUUAGAAGUCAGUGGGAUGAAUGUAAGCUUACUCCUGAUCUUCAUGUAACUACAGUGCCACUUUUUUCUUGACUUUGUCCAUAUAAAAUUUAUUCACAUGCCUUUGCAAUAACUAGAUUGUGAGAAGAUAGCCCCAUGCUGUAACAAUAACCAGUUGUUUGAGGUGCUUGCAGUUGUCUAAUUAAAGUGUUUUGUUUUUUCAGACA